rnacentral:rRNA from 1 species
UUGAACGCUGGCGGCAUGCCUUACACAUGCAAGUCGAACGGCAGCACGGGAGCAAUCCUGGUGGCGAGUGGCGAACGGGUGAGUAAUAUAUCGGAACGUGCCCAGUCGUGGGGGAUAACGUAGCGAAAGCUACGCUAAUACCGCAUACGAUCUACGGAUGAAAGCGGGGGAUCGCAAGACCUCGCGCGAUUGGAGCGGCCGAUAUCAGAUUAGGUAGUUGGUGGGGUAAAGGCCCACCAAGCCGACGAUCUGUAGCUGGUCUGAGAGGACGACCAGCCACACUGGAACUGAGACACGGUCCAGACUCCUACGGGAGGCAGCAGUGGGGAAUUUUGGACAAUGGGCGAAAGCCUGAUCCAGCCAUGCCGCGUGCAGGAUGAAGGCCUUCGGGUUGUAAACUGCUUUUGUACGGAACGAAAAAGUCUUCUCUAGUACAGGGGGCGAAUGACGGUACCGUAAGAAUAAGCACCGGCUAACUACGU